AGUCAUAUGCUUGUCUCAAAGAUUAAGCCAUGCAUGUCUAAGUACACGCCUUUACACGGCAAAACUGCGAAUGGCUCAUUAAAUCAGUUAUGGUUCCUUAGAUCGUACAAUCCUACUUGGAUAACUGUGGCAAUUCUAGAGCUAAUACAUGCAACACAGCUCCGACCUUACGGGAAGAGCGCUUUUGUUAGCCCAAAACCAAUCCGGUCCUCGUGGCCGGUCCUCUAUGGUGACUCUGAACAACUUUGUGCCGAUCGUAUGCCCUUGCGGCGACGACGCGUCUUUCAAAUGUCUGCCCUAUCAACUGUCGAUGGUACGUGCUAUGCCUACCAUGGUGAUAACGGGUAACGGGGAAUCAGGGUUCGAUUCCGGAGAGGGAGCAUGAGAUACGGCUACCACAUCCAAGGAAGGCAGCAGGCGCGCAAAUUACCCACUCCCGACACGGGGAGGUAGUGACGAAAAAUAACAAUACGGGACUCUUUCGAGGCCCCGUAAUUGGAAUGAGUACACUUUAAAUCCUUUAACGAGGAUCCAU
rnacentral:rRNA from 1 species